CAUGUGAACAACACUUGGACAUGGGUUAGUCGAUCCUAAGAGAUGGGGAAGCCCUGUAUCAAGGGUGCACUCUGCACGAACAUCGAAAGGGAAUCGGGUUAAUAUUCCUGAACCGGGACAUGGCGGCGGACGACAACGUUAGGAAAUCUGGAGACAUCGUUAGGGGACCUGGGAAGAGUUAUCUUUUCUUUUUAACAGCUUGCCCACCCUAAAAUCAGCUCAAUUGGAGAUAGGGUCCAGCAGCUGGAAGAGAAUCACAAGUCUUGCAUUGUCCGAUGUGUCCUCAGCGGCCCUUGAAAAUCUGGAGGACCGAGUACCAUCCAUGCCCGGUCAUACUCAUAACUGCAUCAGGUCUCCAAGGUGAACAACCUUUGGUCAAUAGAACAAUGUAGGUAAGGGAAGUCGGAAAAAUAGAUCCGUAACUUUGGGAAAAGGAUUGGAUCUGAGGGCUAGGCCUAGGGGUCUGCGUCCUCAACCUGUGGGUUGUCAGCAGUUUUCCCGAGCUGCUAUCGUGGUGAGGGUAGGCAGUCACGUGCCGAUUGGGCUACGGAUGUAGAAUGUCUCCUCGCAGGGGCUUUUCCCUAGGUGGUGAACAGUCGACUUAGAACUGGUACGGACAAAGGGAAUUCGUUUGUUUAAUUAAAACAAAGAAUUAUGAUGGUCCCUGCAGAUGCUGACGCAAUGUGAUUUCUGCCCAGUGCUCUGAAUGUCAAAGUGAAGAAAUUCAACCAAGCGCGGGUAAACGACGGGAGUAACUAUGACUCUCUUAAGGUAGCCAAAUGCCUUGUCAUCUAAUUAGCGACAUGCAUGAAUGGAUUAAUGAGAUUCCCACUGUCCCUAUCUACUAUCUAGCAAAACCACAACCAAGGGAAUGAUCUUGGUAGAAUCAGCGGGGAAAGAAGACCCUGUUGAGCUUGACUCUAGUCCAACUUUGUGAAAUGACUUGAGAGGUGUAGAAUAAGUGGGAUCCAUUUUCUAUGCAAGUGAAAUACCACUACUUUUAACAUUAUUUUACUUAUUCUGUGGGGUGGAGAUGGGGCAUUGCCCCUAUUUUUGGCCUUAAGACACGUUUCGAUGGGUCGAUCUGGGCGGAAGACUUUGUCAGGUAGUGAGUUUGGCUGGGGAGACACAUCUGUUAAAAGAUAACACAAGUGUCCUAAGAUGAGCUCAACAAGAACAUAAAUCUCGUGUGGAACAAAAGGGUAAAAUAUCAUUUGAUUUUGAUUUUCAAUGCGAAUACAAACUGUGAAAGCAUGGCCUAUUGAUCCUUUAGACUUUCGGAAUUUGAAGCUAGAGGUAUCAAAAAAGUUACCACAGGGAUAACUGGCUUGUUGCAGCCAAGCAUUCAUAGCGACGUUUAUUUUUUAUCCUUCGAUGUCGGCUCUUCCUAUCACUGUGAAGCAGAAUUCACCAAGUGCUGGAUUUUUCACCCACCAAUAGGGAAUGUGAGUUGGGUUUAGACCGUCAUGAGACAAGUUAGUUUUACCCUAAUGAUGAACCACGCCGCAAUAGUAAUUCAACUUAGUACAAGAGGAACCAUUGAUUCACACAAUUGGUCAUCGCGCUUGGUUGGAAAGCCAGUGGCGCGAAGCUACCGUGUGUCGGAUUAUGACCAAACGCCUCUAAGUCAGAAUCCACGCUAGAAGUGGCACUUGUCACUCCUUGAAUAUAUCUUGACCUAUAGUAAGGGUGUUUCUUUGGCACCCCCAGGGGCCCGUGUCACUUGCGAACCUCGGCCAGGAAGCGUCUCGGUCAGGGCAUCUUUGAAGUUCAAUUUUAAAUGGUCGUUGAGAAGAAUGCUUUGCAAACGACUUAAAUAUGCGACGAGGUAUUGUAAGUGGUAGAGUGGCCUUACUGCCAUGAUCCACUGAUAUUUAGUCCUUUGUCACCUCUAUUCAG
rfam:Picea glauca, whole genome shotgun sequence.